UACGAAGGGUGCAAACGUUGCUCGGAAUCAUUGGGCGUAAAGCGCACGUAGGCGGCUUCAAAAGUCGGAUGUGAAAUCCCUCGGCUCAACCGAGGACGUGCAUCCGAAACUGUGAGGCUUGAGUACUGAAGAGGAUCGCGGAAUUCCCGGUGUAGAGGUGAAAUUCGUAGAUAUCGGGAGGAACACCAGUAGCGAAGGCGACACUCUGGGCCGGUACUGACGCUGAGGAGCGAAAGCGUGGGGAGCAAACAGGG
rnacentral:rRNA from 1 species